AUGACCUGCAGCGGCACAGACGCCAGCAAAGGCAGAAGCCAUCCCGUCUUGGGUGAGGUGCCCGAGACGCGCCUCUCUAACCCAGUCCGCCCUGUCCUUGGAGAAGCGGGCGGUGUCUGGAAAAGCCUGACCAGGUGUCUUUCCUCGGUGGGCGGGGCUGGUCGCUUUGGGACCCGUUUGGGCCUCCCGGCACCGCCGUGGAAUCCGUUCCACCUGACAGGACGACUCUACCCGGCGGCUGGGGCGGCGGGGGCGGGGCGCCGAGGGAAGGGCUGGGGUGUCACCGGAGCGGGAGCCGAGCGGGUGGGAAGAGGCCGAGGCCAGAGGGAGCCGGCGGGCGGCGUGUGCGGCGUCGGGGUCCCGGUCCCGGUCCCGGUCCCGGUCCCGCCGGGCUGGCCCCGAUUGGCCCUGGGUUCGGGUGGGGCCGCGAGCUGGAAGGGUUGGGCUGUGGCGGGGAGGGGUUGGGCCCUGCCCAUGGGCGGCGCCGGCGGGCCCGCGGUGCGGAGGGUGGCGGGGGGGUGGGGGAGGGCUGGCUGGAGGGGUGGGGGGCGUCCGCGGAGGACGGAGGCCGGAGGCGGCAAAAGGCGAGGGAGGCAAAAGCCUACAGCACCCGGUAUUCCCAGGCGGUCUCCCAUCCAAGUACUAACCAGGCGGUCUCCCAUCCAAGUACUAACCAGGCCCGACCCUGCUUAGCUUCCGAGAUCAGACGAGAUCGGGCGCGUUCAGGGUGGUAUGGCCGUAGACGCUGGCGCCUGCCGCCGGCGCCCCUAAGAAGCCGCGCCGCGUCGCCCGGCCCGCGGCUCGCGCGCGCGCCCAGGCCUCUGUGACGCGCACCCGCCGCCGCCGGCGCCCCCUGCGCCCGCGCUCGGCCUGCCGCCUUCCUCCCGCUGCUGCCUCCCGCCGCGGCCGCCUCGGGCGCGGCCAGCGGGCCAGCCAAACCCUGCGCUGCCCCGCCCUGCUGCCCUCCCAGGGCGCGGAGGCCUGGAGCAGCCCGGGGUGCGAGGAGGCGGGGCGGGGCGGGCGGCGGUGGGAAACGAGGGGUGGUGGGGGCGGGGAUGGGGGCGGGGCGCCUGGCUGGGCGCUCUCCCCUCGCGGCCCGGGAACACUCCAGGCCGCCCUGGCCGCUCGGAUCCGGCGAUGGGUCGCAGGAGAUGCGGCUGCUGGGAGGUGGGGGGCGCGGGGCACUUGGCCCGAGGCGUCGGGGCGUCGGGCCGCCGGGCCCGUGCUCCUCUGAGUCCCCUCCGGCCCGAGGGGCCUCCCAGCGGGAGCCCUGACCUCUGCGGCGCCGGCCGGGCCCCGACUUGCCCAAACCCAGGCGGAGCCACCGGCGCGACCAGAGGGCGUCAGCGGAAGCCCGCCGCGCUGCCCCUGAGGGCGCGGGGAGGCGGGGCGGCCACCCUUCCCCCGCCAGCGCCGCCCAGGAGACCGGCACCCCGCCCCAACCCGCCCCUCGCGGGGACCCUGGACAGCUCCUGCUGGCGCCAGCCCCAGAGACCCAGAGACAGAGACAGAGACAGAGACACGGAGAAACAGAGAAACGGCGACACGGAGAGGAUCCAAGACACGGACCUAGACAGACACCCACCCUGACCCAGAGAGGCUCUGCCCAAGAGCUCGCUUCCCCCCCAGGAGGGCGGUGGUGCUGGAGCUGGGCCCGGGCCAGGAGGCAGGGGCCCCGGGGCUGGCGAUCACC
rnacentral:lncRNA from 1 species